rnacentral:lncRNA from 10 species
CUCCCUGCUUGCUUCCUCCUUGAGAUAUUUAUGAGGAUCUGAAGCUUGGAGCUGCAACAACCACCUUGUGACCCUGAGGCCAAAUGCCAACACACUGAGGAUGGCAGAGCAGAGGAAAGCCUGAGACAGCACGGAGCUGUCAAGCCAACUUCAGAGCUCCCACCCUCCAGAUACUCAGUGAAGUCAAAUGCCUUUCUUUUUGUCAGGGCCUCAGUCUGCCAC